CACAAGACAGCUGGGCUUGGGGACGGCCCAGACCCCAUCCCAGUGCCUGGGGGCAAGAGGAGGCUCGUGACUCAGCAGGGGGGAAUUAUUCAAUUAACCAAGGAGUCCUUGGUCCCCCUUCGAGGGGCCUGCGCGGGCUGCGGAGGCGGCGGGCCUCCUACGUGCGUGGGAGGUAAUCCUUAGUUUCCAUCUUGUCGCAGACCUUCACUGACCCCUGACUGCCUACGGGACAAAGCCCCAGCUGCUCGGGCUGGCUCAGAAGCCUGCCACCAGCCGCUCCCUCCCCACCACGGCCUUCUCGCAAAACUUUGCUUUCUACACCAGACUGGUAAACGAGGGGUUGGCAGCCUGGGGGGCCGUGCACUUUUCACUUUGUGGGCGCCCGCACUGCCUGAAUUUUUUACAGCAAGCACGUGUCAUUUUAUAAUCAGGGAAAAAAUGCUUGGGGCGCCUGGGUGGUUCCGUCAGUGGACGUAUCGGUUCAUUUUAAUCACUCCCUAACGGAGUCAAGGCCAACGGGAGGGGAUGCGACACCCAACAGGUGGGUUUGCCGUGCGCGGUGGGGAAGGCGGCUGUGUGAGUCUGCUCAGAUGCCAUGAAGGAUGCGGGCAAAGGCGCAUCUGUGACGUCCCCAGGGACAACUUCCUGAGUAUCUGCUGAGCUGCCCGCCCCUCAGACCACAGCAUUUGCUGAGCAUCUGCCCAGGAAGGCCCGGAAGAGGGGAGGAAGCAGGCGAGAGCUCCGUGUUAAAGCAGAGAGUGAGGCGGCAAUGAAGGAGAAGGAAAAGGUCUUCCUUUUCCGAGGGCCUGGCGCACCCCUCCUCCAGAGCGUCCUGCCAUUGCCCGCACUGGAGCCCGGACACAGCCCCUCGUCUCCAUGAAUCCCCCACGGCUGUCAGACACCAGCUCCCUCCGCCCACGGCCGUCUCUGAGUCCCACGCAGGCUGUCCUAGAUCUCCGGGGCCUUCCCUCGCCUCGUCUAGACCCACACGUCCAUCCGGGGACCAGCUCAGGUGACUCUCGUCCAGCAACCCUGCCACAUCCUUGCCCUGAGGCCUGAGCCACCUGCAGCUGUCUCCAGACGUUCCCGAGCUCACUCUCACCUCACCUUUGCUCCCCUCCCACUAGUCCUGCUCCCAGAGAAUCGGUCAGCAUAGGAGCCCCGAGGAUGAGGAUCCAGCCUCUUGCCCUGGACUCCUCUGGACCUUCUACUGCACAGAUGUCCAGCCGAACCUGUCCGUCCUCCCUCCAGGCCAGCCUGGCUUUGCCCAGAACCCCCCCUCCCCCAAAUCCCUGCUCAGCUCUACUCUCCGUGGCCCAAAGCCAGCUUCAGUCCCACUCGCCUUCUCAGGAGGCACCUGCCAGCCCCUACUCAGCCCUGCCGCCUCCGGCCCGGAGUGUCCACUCUACCCCCUCCACCACAUCACACUCAGAGCCUCAAGCUGACUUGAGCUGCCAAUGGCCCCUCUGAUCCCUCAUGAACUGUGCCACAUGUCCCCCGGGGGACACUGAGCCCCUCGUGGCCGUAGAGCACAUCCUAAUACUACUACUCGGUCACAUCCACCGAGACUGUUU